CAACGAUAUACCAAAAGAAAUAAGAAAACAGAAUUAAUCCCUUUCCAACAGUUCAGUUCUUGGCUUACGAUUUUCGCCGGCAGGCAGCUUGAAGUUGGAAAAGGGGUUUUAUAUGAUUUCGUACAAUACGACUUGCCACUUGUGUGACUAAAUUUCGAGGUCGUCUCUCUGGAAUCGGCGUCCUCUGAAUACAGUCCCAAUAUCGCCUCUCGGGGUUGACGUUGCACCCCUUACAAAUGCUCACAGUAGGCGCCGGCUUUUCGGGUUGACAGCUUCGUCGCAGCACGAUGUACACGUCGACGCGGGCUUAUCGUCCUAUCUCCUGGCUGGUUAAAUGACGAAGUCUGUUGUUGAAGGCUCAGCCUCGAUUCGAACUAAGCUAUGCCGAUAUAGCGGUCACAGUUAAUUAGACACUGUUUAUAUAUUAUUUAAAAAAAAACUAUUGACCACAUUUCUCAAGGCAGGUAUAAUCUCCACUUCCCACAUAUAAUUCGACUUUUGUAGUUCUGGAAGUGCGCAACUUCACGGUCGGUCGGAACAUAGAUGACUAUUCACCUUUCUCGAACAUUUUGCACUUUUAAAACCCCUAACAUUCGCUCUUUUGCAUACUCAAUUCGCACGCGUGGCUUUACCUAUCGUGACCGACACAUGUUGACUCGAGCACACAACGUUUUCGCAGAAAGAAUGAACUGCGUUACAUGUCCUGCUGUCCGGGACAUGGCUGAUGACGCGUACUUAGUUCAAGAUCUUCAGCUGAUCUUGUGCAGUUAUUCUGCGACUUUUUCGGACAAGAUCGAAAAAAUCGGACAUGAUCUUGAUAUUAUUGCUCAGUCUAAAAAUGCUAUAAUGACAACCGACAGGUCCGUUGGAGCUCCAGAUUCUUUCAAACAAGUUUGAAGACGUCAGGACCACCAGGAACUAGACACAUAUUAUGUGUAUUUCUCUUUUCACCUGGAAGUCAUAUAACUGUUUUUAAACGCGAUAACUAGUAAGACCCCUACUUAAGAAAGCCAACAUGACCUCAGAAGACUUGAAAAAUUACAGAUCAGAGUCUUUUUCUCAAAAGUAAUUGAAUUUAUUGUCCUGCUGAAGCUCGUGGAUCAGGCGGAGGCUAAUGAUCUUCUCACGCCUUACCAGUCAGCCUAUUGUAAGUCUUGCUGCACUCUGCUGGUGAAUAAUCUCUUGAAUACCUCUGAACGUAAAUAUAUCUCAUUACUCGCUCCUUUUGGAUUUAUCUGCCAUCGAUCACGCGAUUUUACGCGAACAGCUUUCAUCGACUUAUGUGUUUCGGUGCACAACGCUCAGGCCAAACCUCACCCAACUUAAGCAGUCAGUGGCCGUUGGAAAUGUCUGCAUAUCUUCAUCAGAGAUCCAACACCGUCCACUGAAGCUUCUAGAAUCUAAAUUCUAUCAUUCGGUCCGAUUGUCACCUCUAUCCCUAAAUGCAGACGACUCUUGUUCGAAAAGAAUGCAGAUGCGAUCAAGUUCUUCAAACAAUUUGACUCUGCUACUACUCUCACUGAUCUUCGCAACAACAAGCUUUUAGAAAGUCACGUGCGUGGCGUCAUGUUCACCAUCGACGAAGCGAUCACAACGCUUGAUGAUGCAGACAGUGUCAUAAACAUGCUUCUAAAAGUGGGAAAGGUCACUUUCGCUUUGAUGGAUUUGAUCCCAACGUCUUUUUGCUUCUGGAAGAACCCUUCCUCCUGGCUGUUAGCGACACUCUUGGAGAUCGGUAUACAGUGCAUAUUGAGGAUAUCUACAAAAAAACAAUCAACUUUAUUCUCAACAUGCUUGUUGAAGGCUUCAAACAGGAUCAUCUCCCAGAUAACAACUCUUUGUCCCAACCCAUGAUGUAACUGUGGUUCAAGGUAGGGUAAACUUUCUGGAACUGAUAGUUUCCAGAUGAAAUUUAGUAGACUGUAGUGUUAAACCCUAAGUUAAAAAUGUUCUCCGAGUUGAAUAAGUUUCCUUCUGCUCAUAUGAUGUUAAUUCCAAUACAUAUUACUCUGAACAUCAGAUGGAAACAUGCUGUUUCCUAAUUAUGACUAUUGUCUGUAAUACAAUUAGAACUGCUACACCAUUUUCCAUGCAUGAUACAUAAAUUAACAUGCAUUAAAAAAGAAAAUCUCAAGAAGCCGUAUUUGUUGUUGCAGUGUAUCUGAAGCAAUCUGCAUACAAAAGUUAAAGCUAUGUUGUUAUUAUGAAGUGUAGCUAAAAGAGUCCCCCCCCCCCCCAUCAGUCUAUAAAACUGUAUUUUAUUGGCAUAUUAUUUUAACGAUCAGCUGUCCUUAUGUCACCACAAACAUGAUUAUUUUUCAUUCUUUUUUGUUCAUGAAUUUUAGGAUGAUGUCUUUGACAAAAUAUUUAACAUGGAACAUUUUCCUUUGUUUUACUACCUUUAAUAUACUUGUAUUUUGAAAUCUUUUUCCUUCAAAAUGUCUUUAUAAGAACACCAAAAGAAAACUAAUGUAAACUAACAAAGCUAAGCAAGUAAAUGCCAUUGUCUAAAAAGUGCCUCUACAUUUGAUCGAAAAUUGUAUGGUUUGUUGAGAGAUAUUUUGGGGCUAUGUACAAGAGUAAACAUCUAGAACAUUGGUUCUUAACCCUGUUUGAGGUACCGAACCCACAAGUUUCAUAUGCACAUUCACCGAACCCUUCUUUAGUGUCAUCAUGAAUUGCGGGAGUGUCUUGACCUCUGUGGCGGAGGCUCCGCCGAAUCCCUGAGACACUCACCGAACCCCCAGGGUUCAUUCGAACCCCGGUUAAGAACCCCUGAUCUAGAACAACUAAGGAUAAAAAAAAAAACUUCCUACACUUGGUCAUAAAAGCAUAAAUGACAGCUACACUUCAUUAGACACACGUAACUAGUAAGAAAUUUUUAGUA